UACAGAGGGUGCAAGCGUUACUCGGAGUUACUGGGCGUAAAGGGCGCGUAGGUGGUUGUGUAAGUGAGAUGUGAAAUCCCUGGGCUUAACCUAGGAACUGCAUCUUAUACUGCAUAACUGGAGUACUGUAGAGGGUAGUGGAAUUUCCGGUGUAGCGGUGAAAUGCGUAGAGAUCGGAAGGAACACCAGUGGCGAAGGCGGCUACCUGGACAGAUACUGACACUGAGGCGCGAGAGCGUGGGGAGCAAACAGG
rnacentral:rRNA from 1 species